GGCAAAUGCUUGCAGCCGCGGUGCCUCGGUUGGACCAGCAGUUCCCCCAGCCUCCCCCAUGGGUACACGGAGCUGCUCGGCUGGAACAGAGGUUUCGCAAGAAAAUACACAGUUUGACAGACUUUCAGAUGAUAUUAAAGAAGGCAAACUCUGAUUGAGAGCCAAAGGAAACAGUUUAAUUGAGACGGGCAGGAGCUAUUGGACCCUGACCUUCUGUUCUGCAGAGCCAACCAGAAUCAGCCUUCCUCUGAUUUACACGAGAUGGAUGAGACAGGAAUAUCUCCAAGAGCUUUAUCACUCCUCUCUGUCAGCGGCUGCCGCUAAGUCAACAGUGCGAUGGUGUGUAUCUGGACGGCGAAGCACUGAGGUUGCUCACAUCGUUCUGUGCUCCCGCUGAAACCAAUAAGCCAUCCUCCACUGCCUCUGCCCGCUCCCCAGCCAUGCCCCGUGGUUACAUCAAAUUAAAUCUUACCCCCAGACUCUCACCAGCAGACUUCCAGCACUGCAGCAUAUCCCCUGCCCAUUGAGUGCAAGGCGGUGGGGGGCCAGCGUGAGGUGCACAGCUCAGCAUCAUCUACCCAAGGGGCACAGCACCCCACCAAGCACAAGAACCAGUCUCUUGGCAUGGGCUGUUCUGGGACAGGCACUGCUCAGGCUCCACAUCCUGCAGCAUCAAAGCAUCCCACCAUCCACUCUGCUAUGUGCUGUGCCUCCCCAGUUUUGUUUAACAGCUCCAUCUCCAUAGCGGUACCCAGAGAUGUGUGCAGCAAGGGUUGCUCUAUCGUCCCUGUGCAGCACUGCACGCCUGUUGCAUUACAUCCAUAGCCCCAUGUUGCACGCCCUGUUUCACUUAUCCCCUUACUACCACUCCUUUUUCCUCCUCACCCACACCUGCAGAGCUCCACAAGUUGUUCUGGAGCCCAUUUGUAGGCUGAGCAUUGAGUGCUGCUGCAGUGCAGGGCCCUGAGGGUCCUCAAGUUGGGGGGUGGCCACCAGCCAUGUCCCAGUCCCCCUUGGUGACAAUGGCCUCAGCAGUGCCUGUCCACAUUUCCCAGCCUGGGAGAAGAACUGCUGUGUAAAAGAACCUCCUGGGGAGGCCACAGGAGGAAGCAGGACAGCAUGAGCAAAGUGAGUGCUGUGAUCUGGGCUGGCAGAAGAAGGGACAGGAAGAAAGUAGCAGGAGAGUAUCAGGGCAGGGAAGAGGUAAGACACUUAUUCCAGUCUUGGUCGAGAAAUUCAGAGCCCAUUCCCUGACAGCAGAGAUACAUAAACAGAUAUGGAUGACUCCUUCCUGAGAAGGAGCCCCUCUUUUCUAGGGCCUGCACACUGGGGCCCUUCUGGAAGCAGCCCAUGGCAGAGCCAUACGGUGCUGCCAUCCCACUGGUGCUGGCAGUGCUGCCCGUGCUGUGCCGUGGGCAUGCAGUGCCUGCAGCACCGCGCUCUGCCAGGCUCAGUGCCUGCUCCUGGCACCAACGUCUGGCACCAUUCCUUGCAAGUGGGCACAAAUUCAUCCCAAAACACAAACACAGGGGGAGGCAGCAGUCAUCACUUGUGUGGGCACUGAGAGAUUCCUGCAGAGAGAGGGACUUCACCACGACCGGGAGAAUUUCUGCUCAAAAUUAAAAUGGUCUUUUUAAAGCAGAUUAAAACUCAUUAUGAAAGCAGCCGCCAGCAGCUGUGAUCUCACAGCAAAGACUUUCCUGAUGCCUUUAGAAAUUGCCCCGUUACCACUGUAACACCAGCAUGAUUCUGCCUCUUUCUUUCAAGCUUGCAAGAUAUUUAUAUUUCAUAUAAUUCUACAGAGCUCAACUGUGAAUUGCUACAGUGUUCUUUUUCUGCACAUUAAUGGUAUGUGUGUGUCCAGCACUAACCCUUAUUGCCAUGUAAUCUGUACGACGUAAUUAACCAUGUAGAAACCAUAACACAUUGCAUUUGGAAGGGUUACAUCCAGUUAAUUUAAUUGACUAAUAACAUGUUUUCAUUUAGCAGCACGUACUGUAUUUCCAGUGAUUGAAUUAAUGUCAUGUUAACGGCUGCUUUUUGCAACAACAUUUGGCAUAAAUUGCAUUAAAAAUUGAUGUUCGUACAAAUGUA